UGGUUUUUAUGAUUUAUCAGGACUUUUCACCUGAUUACGUGCCGACAUUAUCGGGACAUUUGGGAUUAUGAGGACAGGGACGGUGUCCUCAUAAUUCCUGUAAUACAGAUGCAUUUAUCUAAGUUAGAAAACCCCCCCUGCAAACUUUGGGGCCAAGUCCUCUUACACCACAAAACCACGAAAACCAGUUCACACAGUGUAAACUCUGCAUUCAGCAUCGCGCCCUCUGUAGGCUGGAGCCGGAGAAACACCAGAAUAACACUUGCGUUAAGAUUUACGGCUGCUGAUUGGCUAGUUCUGGACUAGCCAUCUAAGGUUGUGAUUGGCUGAGAGGUAUGUCAUUCACUGCGAAUCCUCGUUUCUAUCGGUGGACUUCAGCAGGAGACUAAGAGGACACUACAAUAUCCUGUAAUAUCCAAGUCGUGGAACAGACUGUAAUCAGGAGGAGAUGGCUUCUUCGAAGUUGAGAAGUAGAAAACUUUCUCCAAAACAAGAGGCUGCAUAUUUUAUAUCUGCAUGUAAAGACAAAGAUGGACUUUAUGUGAAAUAUAUAAAUUCAUAUAAAGGCCGUGGGGUAUACAGCAGAUUCCAUUUUGAGAGGGGAGAUUUUCUUCUGGAAUACAGAGGGCAACUCAUCAGCAGGCAUGAAUGUGAAAGUAGACAGAAAAUAUAUCAUGAUGCCCUCAAAGUGUUCAUGUUUGAAUUUUAUUUCAAUGGAAAAUUGUUUUGCAUUGAUGCUGCCCGAGACGAUGGCUCCCUUGGGAGACUGGUGAAUGAUGACCAUGUUAGCCCAAACAGCAAAAUGAAAAAAAUCACCAUAUCAGGAAAGCCCCAUCUAUGUUUAUUCGCAACCAGAAGCAUUAGUCCUGGAGAAGAAAUUACAUAUAACUACGGUGACUCUGACUGGCCAUGGAGAUGCAAGGUGGCUACUGAAAAAGACCAACUGCACCCAAAAGAGCAGAGCACAUCAAGUGAGGUAGGGAGGACAGGGAAAGUAAUUCAGUUAAACUCUUGUAUGUGUGAUUAUUAGGUUUAAGUAGUUGGAGAUAUAGAUGUGUGUUGAAUGAGGAUAUGCAGAGAGAAUGCUGGUAAUUCUCUGUCCCUGCAAAAGGGAGAUCAGCGUGUGAAAGUGUGCUUGACAAAAGCAUUGUCUGUGAGGAUAUGGUGUUGAUGAGAACUGCAGAGAUUACUGGGAUUUUGUGUUUGAACAUUGUGUGAAACAAUGCUUAGAUAUUAGAAAUGCAGUUCUGUCAAUGA